AUGCUCAAUUCAUCAGCAUAUAUGCUAUAAUUGGAAUAAUACAGAGAAGAUUAGCAUGGCCCCUGCACAAGGAUGACAUGUAAAUUCGUGAAGCGUUCCAUAUUCUU
ensembl:snRNA U6 U6 spliceosomal RNA